AGAGUUUGAUCCUGGCUCAGAUUGAACGCUGGCGGCGUGCCUAACACAUGCAAGUCGUGCGAGAAAGUGGGCUUCGGCCCGCGAGUACAGCGGCGCACGGGUGAGUAACACGUGGGUGAUCUCCCUAACAGAUUGGGAUAACAGCGGGAAACUGCUGCUAAUACCGGAUACGAUCCAUUUAAUCGUGGAUGAAAGGCGGCCUCUGCUUGCAAGCUGCCACUGUUAGAUGAGCCCGCGUCCCAUUAGCUUGUUGGCGGGGUAACGGCCCACCAAGGCGACGAUGGGUAGCUGGUCUGAGAGGAUGACCAGCCACACUGGGACUGAAACACGGCCCAGACUCCUACGGGAGGCAGCAGUGGGGAAUAUUGCGCAAUGGGCGAAAGCCUGACGCAGCGACGCCGUGUGAGGGAAGAAGGCCUUCGGGUCGUAAACCUCUGUCAGAAGGGAAGAACCCCCAAGCUUCGAAUAGGGCUUUGGGCUGACGGUACCUCAGAGAG
rnacentral:rRNA from 1 species